UACCCUUGACAUGCCAGGAACUUUCCAGAGAUGGAUUGGUGCCCGAAAGGGAACCUGGACACAGGUGCUGCAUGGCUGUCGUCAGCUCGUGUCGUGAGAUGUUGGGUUAAGUCCCGCAACGAGCGCAACCCUUGCCAUUAAUUGCCAUCAUUCAGUUGGGCACUUUAAUGGGACUGCCGGUGAUAAACCGGAGGAAGGUGGGGAUGACGUCAAGUCCUCAUGGCCCUUAUGGGUAGGGCUUCACACGUAAUACAAUGGUCGGUACAGAGGGUAGCCAACCCGCGAGGGGGAGCCAAUCCCAGAAAGCCGAUCGUAGUCCGGAUCGUAGUCUGCAACUCGACUACGUGAAGUCGGAAUCGCUAGUAAUCGCGGAUCAGCAUGUCGCGGUGAAUACGUUCCCGGGUCUUGUWCACACCGCCCGUCACACCAUGGGAGUGGAAUCGGCAGAAGUAGGUAGCCWACCGCAAGGGGGGCGCUWCCACGCAGGGUUCAAG
rnacentral:rRNA from 1 species